CUCUGCAGAAGGAUCUGGACAGGGUGGAUUGAUGGGCCAAGGCCAAUUGCAUGAGGUUCAACAAGGUUCAGUGCCGGGUCCUGCGCUUGGGUCACAACAACCCCAUGCAAUGCUCCAGGCCUGGGGAAGAGUGGCUGGAAAGCUGCUCGACAGAAAAAGACCUUGG